ensembl:lncRNA
UGAAAGGGGGGUGGAAUAUGUUCAGGACACUCCAAACAUUAAAUAAAAUGUGUGAAGUAGUUGAGAUCUACGUCCCUGAAUGCUCCACAAUACUUUAAACAUAGGUGAUCAGACAGGCGAAAAUGCAUUAGCUUCAAUGGUAGGGCCAUGUGACAUGUAUCACUCUUUGCUGAAAAAACUAAAGAUUGUGUCUCAAUGAAAGGGGGGUGGAAUAUGUUCAGGACACUCCAAACAUUAAAUAAAAUGUGUGAAGUAGUUGAGAUUUACGUCCCUGAAUGCUCCACAAUACUUUAAACAUAGGUGAUCAGACAGGCGAAAAUGCAUUAUCUUC